UCCACGCCGUAAACGAUGUCAACUAGCCGUUGGGACCUUGAGGUCUCAGUGGUGCAGCUAACGCGUGAAGUUGACCGCCUGGGGAGUACGGCCGCAAGGCUAAAACUCAAAUGAAUUGACGGGGGCCCGCACAAGCGGUGGAGCAUGUGGUUUAAUUCGAUGCAACGCGAAGAACCUUACCAUCCCUUGACAUCAUCAGAACUUGUUAGAGAUAACUCGGUGCCUUCGGGAAC
rnacentral:rRNA from 1 species